rnacentral:rRNA from 1 species
GUAAGGAAUAUUGGUCAAUGGGCGGAAGCCUGAACCAGCCAUGCCGCGUGCAGGAUGACUGCCCUAUGGGUUGUAAACUGCUUUUGUCCAGGAAUAAACCUUUCUACGUGUAGGAAGCUGAAUGUACUGGAAGAAUAAGGAUCGGCUAACUCCGUGCCAGCAGCCGCGGUAAUACGGAGGAUCCGAGCGUUAUCCGGAUUUAUUGGGUUUAAAGGGUGCGUAGGCGGCCUAUUAAGUCAGGGGUGAAAUACGGUGGCUCAACCAUCGCAGUGCCUUUGAUACUGAUGGGCUUGAAUCCAUUUGAAGUGGGCGGAAUAAGACAAGUAGCGGUGAAAUGCAUAGAUAUGUCUUAGAACUCCGAUUGCGAAGGCAGCUCACUAAGCUGGUAUUGACGCUGAUGCACGAAAGCGUGGGGAUCGAACAGGAUUAGAAACCCCGGUAGUCC